UACGUAGGCAGCAAGCGUUGUUCGGAGUUACUGGGCGUAAAGAGUGCGUAGGUGGUGCCCUAAGUCUGUUGUGAAAUCUCCCGGCUUAACUGGGAGGGUGCGGUGGAAACUGGGGUGCUUGAGUGUGGGAGAGGUAAGCGGAAUUCCUGGUGUAGCGGUGAAAUGCGCAGAUAUCAGGAAGAACACCAAUGGCGAAGGCAGCUCUCUGGGACGGUACUGACGCUGAGACGCGAAAGCGUGGGGAGCGAACAGG
rnacentral:rRNA from 1 species